UACGUAGGGUGCAAGCGUUAAUCGGAAUUACUGGGCGUAAAGCGUGCGCAGGCGGUUAUGUAAGACAGGGGUGAAAUCCCAGGGCUUAACCUUGGAACUGCAUUUGUGACUGCAUAGCUAGAGUACGGUAGAGGGGGAUGGAAUUCCGCGUGUAGCAGUGAAAUGCGUAGAUAUGCGGAGGAACACCGAUGGCGAAGGCAAUCCCCUGGACCUGUACUGACGCUCAUGCACGAAAGCGUGGGGAGCAAACGGG
rnacentral:rRNA from 1 species